GAAAGAAUAGCGAUAUAGUGAACAGAGCUUUUAACGCUUCGUACAAACGUCAGCCUUCAUUCUGUAGUAGAGAGAGUUUGGGGGAAAUUUUUACUCCUGCAGAGCAGUUGGACGGUACAUUCUAUACGUCAGAAGUAUUCAUCAAAGAGCUUACGUAAACACAAACAAACCUUGGUUUCAAUGCUUAACUUCUUUACAGGUGAAACUUCCAUACCCUCAAUAAACUGAUGACCAUCCGUUAAAUCUAACUUUAACAUACGACUGGAUGGCGACUGUCAAAUGAUAAAAAUAAAACAAUUUUAUUUUCUUACUCAACCUUUGUGUUGUGUCCAUUAACAUCAACAAGAACGUCGUUGGAAGGAAAAUAUGACACAUGAUAAAAUAGUAUGUAACCAGAUUGCAUGAAAAUGUUGAAUUGAAAUUUUCCAAGCAGUUUGAAUAAAUUAUCGUGCAAUAUA